rnacentral:lncRNA from 10 species
GCCAGGCUGGCCUUGAAUUCCUGACCUCAAGUGAUCCACCCGCCUCGGCCUCCCAAAGUGCUGGGAUUACAGGCGUCAGCCACUGCGCCCGGCCAAUUCUUCAAAAUUUAAUGUGAAUAUUACAUUCUCUGACGACUAUCUGUAUCCAUUUUUAUAAUAUAAUGGCUGAUUCUUUCAUAUCAUACAGCAUAUUCCAAGCAACCUUAAUGAAGACUAGCUGAUGUGUGGUCAGGAAAUGAAACUGAAUUUUAAUAUGGGCCAAAUAAAAAUAUAAUUAAGAAGAUUAAUCUGUCAAAGUUAAAGAAAAAUUGCCUGGUAUUUUCUUUUUUUUUUUCUCUUACUCCUCAGGGAUCCUUGUUCUGAUGCCUGGUAUUUUCUGAGGCUAAAUGUAAAGAAGGGUUAAUUAUCACCUGCUGUGCUGGCCUGGGGACUAACUGGGUCAUGCUGAGAUCCUACGGAAGCAGCAGAACUAUAGUUACCAAAAGCCUAAAAGAGGACUUGGACAUGAAUGAGGCCAUCAAGUACAGUUCAGAGGAGUAUAGGAACAUCAAGAGGUAAUAUGCCCAGCCACAGAAUCCAAAUUUACAUUCCUCAUUCUGAAGUUAAAGUCAUGAACUACACAGAUCUAUUCAAGAAACAUGAGCUCUCUGAAGCCCUGUCAGAAAGUGCUACUGCAGUUGCUGCACUAAAUUUAUCUUCAGUGACAUCCUGACUGUCCUGUGUAACGUUUCCAUUUAUCCAAGUCUGACCUAAACAGUUUGCUCCUUAAAGUCCCUUAUUUUGGGACAAGCAGAGAGAGUUAAUGUGCUGUUCUGAAUGCUGGUUUAUUUAAAUAUGGUAACAGAUCACAAUAUCCCUGAGACCCCUCAUGAGUACAGAACAGGCAUGGACCAAAAGAAAACAAGGAUAUCUCAGAGCACAAGCAACAACAAAAAAGUUGAUGAGUCAAAAGAUAAGAAGAUUAAAUGUAUUGGCUGGGCAUGGUGGCACACGCCUGUAAUUCCAGCUACUUGGGAGGCUGAGGCAGGAGAAGCACUUGAACCCGGGAGGUGGAGGCUGCACUGAGCCGAGAUCAUACCACUGUACUCCAGCCUGGGUGACAGAGCGAGACUCUGUCUCAAAAAGAAAAAGAGAGAAAAUGAAAUGUGAGUUGUUACCAGUCAAGUGAAAAAAGUGGCUACAAAAAUUUAGAAGUUCAGAUGAUGACACAGGAAAAAGAAAAAAGAGGAAAAAAGCAAGCAAAGAAGGAAGGGAAUGUAGGAUAGCAACAGCAGCAGUACAGAAGAGAAGGAGUGACCAGGAGUGGUGGCUCACGCCUAUAAUCCCAGCACUUUCGGAGGCCAAGGCGGGUGGAUCAUCUGAGGUCAGGAGUUCAAGACCAGUCUGGCUAACAGGGCAA